rnacentral:tRNA from 1 species
AAGGCUCUAGCUUAAUUAAAGCGCUUGAGUUGCAUUCAGGAGAUGCAGGUUAGUGGCCUGCGAGUCUUA